GUGCCAGCAGCCGCGGUAAUACCGGCAGCCCGAGUGAUGGCCGAUCUUAUUGGGCCUAAAGCGUCCGUAGCUGGCCGGACAAGUCCGUUGGGAAAUCCACCCGCUUAACGGGUGGGCGUCCAGCGGAAACUGUUCGGCUUGGAGCCGGAAGACCCGAGGGGUACGUCCGGGGUAGGAGUGAAAUCCCGUAAUCCUGGACGGACCGCCGGUGGCGAAAGCGCCUCGGGAGGACGGACUCGACAGUGAGGGACGAAAGCUAGGGUCUCGAACCGGAUUAGAAACCCGUGUAGUCC
rnacentral:rRNA from 1 species